UUUCUUUCAGGUCAUAUUUGUUCAGCAUACUGAAGCGUCACAAUAGACCACAGAUCCACAUCACACAGAGCUAUAAGGUGAAUGCCUCGGGAUUCUCCUCCCUGUAGCUCAUAACAGCAGCUCCACACAAUGAUCAGGCAGCAAAACCUCCACGUCUCAUUUUCCAUCUUUCUCCUGUGGACGUCAGGUUGUGUCGGUGGGAGCGAUGUUUCCCAAACCCCGAUGCUGUGGAAGUCUGUGGGUCAAGAUGCGACGAUGGAGUGCAGCCAUACCAAGGGUGCUGGCUAUUACCAGAUGUACUGGUACCGGCAGCUGCCUGGAGAAACAAUGAAACUCGUCGUGUUCACGUCGACGACUUCAAAAGACCACGACUUUGGGGAUUUCAGUAAAGAGAAAUUCUCAGCGUCCAAGACUGAACCUGAGACAGGAUCGUUCACAGUGAAGAACCUGGAGGCAGAAGACAAAGGCUUGUACUUCUGCGCUGUGAGUCAACACAGUGAUGAAACCACAUGGGAGAGAUGAACAAAAACCUCCCAGCACUUCUCACCUCAGCUGCAACCACACAGAAUCAGCAACACACUCCCGUAUCUGACGGUUCACAUCUCUAGUGAUGAACUCGCAUCUCACUCCGAGUUUAACUCACCGUAAAGGAGUCAUCUGGUUUUUGUUUUUUACUCAUACUGUCUCUGUCUAAUUGGAAACGUCUGCUGAAUGUCUGAUGUUUCUUUUGUUAUUAUUAUUAUUACUGCUAUAGACUCACUCAGUGAACAAAGUGAAUUUGGUAAGAAAUCCAGAAAAACAAGGGCUUCGAUGUUGAAUUGUGUUUUGAAGUGCUGAAAUUUACAUAAUCACUAAAUGGAUAUAAGUACGGAAAUAGGAGGUUAUGGGAUUAUCAAUGAA